rnacentral:lncRNA from 1 species
AAAAAAAUAGAAAGAGCUCUCAGUCUGUCAAUCCUUACUAUGUCUGGACCUGGUAAGUUACCCCAUGUUGAGUCAAAUUAAGCCGCAGCUCCUCUCCUGGUGCUGCCCUCCUGUCAAUUCCUUUAAGUUUCAGCCUUGCGACCAUACUCCCUCCGGAACCCAAAAACUUUGAUUUCUCAUAAGGUGCCGACGGAGUCCUAUAAGCAACAUCCGUUGAUCCCUGGUCGGCAUCGUUUAUGGUUGAGACUAGGAUGGUAUCUAAUCGUCUUCAAGCCCUCAGCUUUCAUUCUUGAUUAAUGAAAACAUCCUUGGCAAAUGCUUUCGCAGUUGUUCAUCUUUCAUAAAUCCAAGAAUUUUACCUCUGACUAUGAAAUACGAAUGCCCCUGACUAUCUCUGUUAAUCAUUACUCAGAUCCCGAAGGCCAACUAAUAGGAUCGAAAUCCUAUAAUGUUAUCCCAUGCUAAUGUAUCCAAAGCGUAAGCUUGCUUUGAGCACUCUAAUUUCUUCAAAGUAACAGCACCGGAGGUACGACCCGACCAGUUAAGGCCAGGAGCAUAUUGCCGGUAGAAGGGAUGAGACGACCGGUGCACACCGUAAGCAAACCUUUCGACCCAACCCAAGGUCCAACUACGAGCUUUUUAACUGCAAUAACUUAAAUAUACGCUAUUGGAGUUGCAAUUACCGUGGCUACUGGCACCAAACUUACCCUCCAAUGGAUCCUCGUUAAGGGAUUUAGAUUGUACUCAUUCCAAUUACCAGACUCUGUGAGGUCGGUAUUGUUAUUUAUAGUCACUACCUCCCCGUGUCAGGAUUGGGUAAUUUGCGUGCCUGUUGCCUUCCUUAGAUGUGGUAGCCGUUUCUCAGGCUCAC